CAUUACUGAGUUUACGCUCUACAACCCUUUGUGAACAUACCUAUAACUGUUGCUUCGGCGGGUAGGGUCUCCGCGACACUCCCGGCCUCCCGCCCCCGGGCGGGUCGGCGCCCGCCGGAGGAUAACCAAACUCUGAUGUAACGACGUUUCUUCUGAGUGGUACAAGCAAAUAAUCAAAACUUUUAACAACGGAUCUCUUGGUUCUGGCAUCGAUGAAGAACGCAGCGAAAUGCGAUAAGUAAUGUGAAUUGCAGAAUUCAGUGAAUCAUCGAAUCUUUGAACGCACAUUGCGCCCGCCAGCAUUCUGGCGGGCAUGCCUGUUCGAGCGUCAUUUCAACCCUCAAGCUCUGCUUGGUGUUGGGGCCCUACAGCUGAUGUAGGCCCUCAAAGGUAGUGGCGGACCCUCCCGGAGCCUCCUUUGCGUAGUAACUUUACGUCUCGCACUGGGAUCCGGAGGGACUCUUGCCGUAAAACCCCCAAUUCUCCAAAGGUUGACCUCGGAUCAGGUAGGAAUACCC
rnacentral:rRNA from 1 species